UACGAAGGGGGCUAGCGUUGCUCGGAAUCACUGGGCGUAAAGCGCACGUAGGCGGCUUUCUAAGUCAGAGGUGAAAUCCUGGAGCUCAACUCCAGAACUGCCUUUGAUACUGGAAAGCUUGAGUCCGGGAGAGGUGAGUGGAACUGCGAGUGUAGAGGUGAAAUUCGUAGAUAUUCGCAAGAACACCAGUGGCGAAGGCGGCUCACUGGCCCGGUACUGACGCUGAGGUGCGAAAGCGUGGGGAGCAAACAGG
rnacentral:rRNA from 1 species